rnacentral:rRNA from 1 species
UACGAGGGGGGCAAGCGUUGUUCGGAAUUAUUGGGCGUAAAGGGUGCGUAGGUGGUUCGGCAAGUCUUGUGUGAAAUCUUCAGGCUCAACUUGAAGUCUGCACAAGAAACUGCCGGGCUUGAGUAUGGGAGAGGUGAGUGGAAUUUCCGGUGUAGCGGUGAAAUGCGUAGAUAUCGGAAGGAACACCUGUGGCGAAAGCGGCUCACUGGACCAUUACUGACACUGAGGCACGAAAGCUAGGGGAGCAAACAGGGAUUAGAUACCCUGGUAGUCCUAGCCCUAAACGAUGAUCGCUUGGUGUGGCGGGUAUCCAACCCUGCCGUGCCGAAGCUAACGCGUUAAGCGAUCCGCCUGGGGAGUACGGUCGCAAGGCUGAAACUC